CAGGAUUGUUGUGAGGGCUGUAGGUGAGGCCAAGGGCAUGGUUCUGUGCCAGUCCCAAGGUAGUUGCCCCAGAGCUGGCAGUCGUGGCCUCCUUCAUACAUGGUGGCCCCGGGCAGGUCCUGAGCAUCUCAGGGUGCCAGCAUUCCAGGCUGUGCACCGGGCCCCAGCGCUGUUGGUGGUGUGGGAGUUGGGGGAGCUCCAUGUCCACUCCCUGCCUCCAUCUCGUUGCAGACCCGUGCUGCCCUGAGCCGGGGGGACCUGGCCCAGGCUGAGGAGGCUUCCCGGAAGGCCCGCUCACUCGUGCUCUUCAGUCUGCUCUUCGGGGUCUUUGUGUCCACCAGCUGGGUCAUCUAUGUGGUGGUGGCACUCUACCUCCCCUGAGAGCUGCUGGCUCCUUUGGGGAUGCCAGGACGCACAAGGACACCCAACCUGGACAGACUGUUUCUGUGGACUUUGAUCCCUGCUGGUGGCUAUCUGUUGCCUACAGAGGGAACCCAGGGCCAGAAGAAGGUGUCCAGGUUCUCAAAGAGGUCUGUGACUCCACAAGAUAAAAAGCCAUCUGCAUGGAGAGGAGGAAGUCCGCCCCCGGCUCCCCUGUCAGCUCAGCCGUACAAGGAUGACAGAUCGAGUUAAAUCAAGUGACUUCUGAGCACCCACUGUGUGCUGCUCACAGCCCUGGCACCUCAAGCAGAGAAUACCUGUCUCAACCUGGAGAUGCUUUGGGGAGCCCGAGACAUGGAUGGGGAAGUAAGUGGUGAGGACAAUGCUUAGGGGGUUGAAAGGCGGCCUCCUGCUGUAGGGUGCAGGGCUGGCCCAGAAUUAGGGUAUCAGACACUAGAAUGCAUGGCAGCCACUAAGGAGGAAUCCAAUUUUUAGGGAUCAAUAGAUGCCAAAAAGUUUGGUAGAAUUCAGCUGCCACAGCUUUUCUUGCUAAACUUAAAAUUGGGAUCAAAAGAAAUCACCUAGACCAGUGUUCCUUGAACUUUAUGUGGGAAAUACCAGGCAGAUCUUGUUAACAUGCAGAUUCUGGUUCAGUCAGUAGGACCUCAGAGUCUGCAUUUUUUUUUUUUAGAUUCUGCAUAUCUAAUGAGCUCUCCGCAAUACUGAAGCUGAAAGAGGCACCGAGAGCAAAUGCCACGUUAAGUGGAAAAUUAUUAAAACCAUUAAAAGUCAUUAUAACCAGUAUAAAGCUGGUGGAUCCCCCCAGUGAGCUUCUAGCUAAUGUAAAAAAUAGCAAAGUGAAAUUUGUAGUAUAAAAACUAGAAGAGACAAUGAUACU
rnacentral:lncRNA from 1 species